rnacentral:lncRNA from 1 species
UUAUUACCCACAAGGGUAAAGGAACAGUACCACUGCUGGAUAAUUGGAAAGUCCCUGUGUGUCAACCUCUGUGCUUCGUGGCAAGGUAGACUAGCAAACAUGCCCAACCUUUACUCACAUUCGAGAAAACACUACCAAUAAGAUUGCUUGCUCCAAAAUCGAAGAGGCACCGUCCUCCGAAUCUCGAGAGCCAGACUCCCAACAUGACUACUUUCUUAAAAAUCGAAGAGAGGGUAAAGGAACAGUACCAUUGCUGGAUAAUUGGAAAAGUCCCUGUGUGUCAACCUCUGUGCUUCGUGGCAAGGUAGACUAGCAAACAUGCCCAACCUUUACUCACAUUCGAGAAAACACUCCCAACAAGAUUGCUUGCUCCAAAAUCGAAGAGGCACCGCCCUCCGAAUCUCGAGAGCCAGACUCCCAACAUGAUUACUUUCUCAAAAAUCGAAGAGACACUGCUCCCCGAAUCUCGAGAGCCAGACCCCCAGCAUGAUUGCUUUUUCAAAAAUCGAUGAGGCAUCGUUCUCCGAAUCAAUCGAAGAGGCGCUCGCUUUCUCAAAAGCUGGGCUGCUCAGAGACCACGAGGGCCGAUCUCAGAAAUCGAAGAGGCACCUACUUUUCUAGCCUUGUCAGCACCUGUCACACGCACACUCAGCUUUGCAGAAAUUAUGGGCAUUCUGUCGAAGACUUCUGGUGAAGUAGAAAGCACAUGAAUCUUACUGUUCAAUCACCCACUUCCCACACGCAACAAUAGCUCAUGGGUACCACAAAUAACUUUGCCAAAGUUCUCUGCCAAAGUUGAGCACGUGAAGCUUGCAGCUCCCACUACAUCGCUCUGACCAAGAAAGGUAAAAGAAUAGCAAAGAAACAGCACUAACAAAAGUUUAGACACAUAAAUUUUGAAGGUCUAGCUACCAUAUUAUUACCCACAACUGUAAAGGAACAGUACCACUGCUGGAUAAUUGGAAAGUCCCUGUGUGUCAACCUCUGUGCUUCGUGGCAAGGUAGCCUAGCAAACAUGCCCAACCUUUACUCACAUUCGAGAAAACACUCCCAAUAAGAUUGCUUGCUCCAAAAUCGAAGAGGCACCGUCCUCCGAAUCUCGAGAGCCAGACUCCUAACAUGACUACUUUCUCAAAAUCGAAGAGAGGGUAAAGGAACAGUACCAUUGCUGGAUAAUUGGAAAGUCCCUGUGUGUCAACCUUUGUGCUUCGUGGCAAGGUAGACUAGCAAACAUGCCCAACCUUUACUCACAUUCGAGACAAC